rnacentral:rRNA from 1 species
GGCCAGACUCCUACGGGAGGCAGCAGUAGGGAAUAUUGCACAAUGGGGGAAACCCUGAUGCAGCGACGCCGCGUGAGUGAAGAAGUAUUUCGGUAUGUAAAGCUCUAUCAGCAGGGAAGAAAAUGACGGUACCUGACUAAGAAGCCCCGGCUAACUACGUGCCAGCAGCCGCGGUAAUACGUAGGGGGCAAGCGUUAUCCGGAUUUACUAGGUGUAAAGGGAGCGUAGACGGCAUGGCAAGUCAGAUGUGAAAGCCCGGGGCUCAACCCCGGGACUGCAUUUGAAACUGUCAGGCUGGAGUGCAGGAGAGGUAAGUGGAAUUCCUAGUGUAGCGGUGAAAUGCGUAGAUAUUAGGAGGAACACCAGUGGCGAAGGCGGCUUACUGGACUGUAACUGACGUUGAGGCUCGAAAGCGUGGGGAGCAAACAGGAUUAGAUACCCCAGUAA